rfam:Schistosoma mansoni strain Puerto Rico chromosome W, complete genome
GACCUUUUGAACUUGUGCCGAGAUUUCGUCAGACACCAUACCAUCAGUACUGACGAGACUCCUAAUGCAAAUAAAGCG